rnacentral:rRNA from 13 species
GCACAGAGGGUGGUGCAGCAUCAUGCAGGAUAUGGUAGUGGAUGGGUCGCCGGUUUGGGAGGUGUAUCGUGAUGUUCCGGUCAGCUUUGGAGAGGAGGCAUUGGAGACGACGGCAAUUUCGAAGGUUGGCAGCCGCACAGUGCCCAGUGC